UUGAACGCUGGCGGCAUGCCUUACACAUGCCAGUCGAACGGCAGCGGGCCCUUCGGGGUGCCGGCGAGUGGCGAACGGGUGAGUAAUGCAUCGGAACGUACCCGGGAGAGGGGGAUAACCGGCCGAAAGGCUGGCUAAUACCGCAUGAACUCGGAAGAGCAAAGCGGGGGACCUUCGGGCCUCGCGCUCUCGGAGCGGCCGAUGUCCGAUUAGGCUAGUUGGUGGGGUAAAGGCCCACCAAGGCGACGAUCGGUAGCGGGUCUGAGAGGACGAUCCGCCACACUGGGACUGAGACACGGCCCAGACUCCUACGGGAGGCAGCAGUGGGGAAUCUUGGACAAUGGGCGCAAGCCUGAUCCAGCAAUGCCGCGUGGGUGAAGAAGGCCUUCGGGUUGUAAAGCCCUUUCGGCGGGGAAGAAAUCGGUCAGGCGAAUAGUCUGGCCGGAUGACGGUACCCGCAGAAGAAGCACCGGCUAACUACGUG
rnacentral:rRNA from 1 species